GGGCCCGCACAAGCGGUGGAGCAUGUGGUUUAAUUCGAUGAUACGCGAGGAACCUUACCAGGGCUUAAAUGUAGUGGGACAGGUCUAGAGAUAGACCCUUCUUCGGACUCAUUACAAGGUGCUGCAUGGUUGUCGUCAGCUCGUGCCGUGAGGUGUCAGGUUAAGUCCUAUAACGAGCGCAACCCCUAUCGUUAGUUGCCAGCGAGUAAUGUCGGGAACUCUAACGAAACUGCCGGUGCAAACCGUGAGGAAGGUGGGGAUGACGUCAAAUCAUCACGGCCCUUACGUCCUGGCUACACACGUGCUACAAUGGUCGGUACAGAGAGCAGCCACUACGCGAGUAGGAGCA
rnacentral:rRNA from 1 species